UACGAAGGGGGCUAGCGUUGCUCGGAAUUACUGGGCGUAAAGGGCGCGUAGGCGGAUAGUUUAGUCAGAGGUGAAAGCCCAGGGCUCAACCUUGGAACUGCCUUUGAUACUGGCUAUCUUGAGUUCGGGAGAGGUGAGUGGAAUGCCGAGUGUAGAGGUGAAAUUCGUAGAUAUUCGGAAGAACACCAGUGGCGAAGGCGGCUCACUGGUCCGGUACUGACGCUGAGGUGCGAAAGCGUGGGGAGCAAACAGG
rnacentral:rRNA from 1 species